rnacentral:lncRNA from 1 species
CUCUUUGGGGUAUGAGAUCUAGGGUGGGACUUCUAGGGUUUUCUAGUUCCUAUUUUAUGAGAGAGAAAAGCAAAAGGAGUUUUGUUCUUCUUCUACCACACCAUCUCCUUUUUGAAAAACUCUAUCUUUUGAUCUAGAGGUAUUCAUUUGAUCUAAAAAAAGAUAUCUCCAUCAGCCAUCUAGAUCCUUCGUCGCGAGCUAGCACUCUCGAAAAGGAUGAUCUAUUUGGGGCUUCGAGUGGACUAUCUGUAGAGGCCAAACGUGCUGUGCGAUUGCUCACAUUAGGAAGGAUCUCCUACCAUGUGUAUCAACAGUGGUGAUCACUAAUCCAUGAUCAGGUAAUGGGUUCUGAACUCAUCGGAUC